GAAGCAACGCGAAGAACCUUACCUGGCCUUGACAUGCUGAGAACUUUCUAGAGAUAGAUUGGUGCCUUCGGGAACUCAGACACAGGUGCUGCAUGGCUGUCGUCAGCUCGUGUCGUGAGAUGUUGGGUUAAGUCCCGUAACGAGCGCAACCCUUGUCCUUAGUUACCAGCACGUAAUGGUGGGAACUCUAAGGAGACUGCCGGUGACAAACCGGAGGAAGGUGGGGAUGACGUCAAGUCAUC
rnacentral:rRNA from 1 species